AUUGAACGCUGGCGGAAUGCUUUACACAUGCAAGUCGAACGGUAGAGGGGGCAACCCCUUGAGAGUGGCGAACGGGUGAGUAAUAUAUCGGAACGUGCCCAGUCGUGGGGAUAACGUAGCGAAAGUUACGCUAAUACCGCAUACGAUCUACGGAUGAAAGCGGGGGACUCGCAAGAGCCUCGCGCGAUUGGAGCGGCCGAUAUCAGAUUAGGUAGUUGGUGGGGUAAAGGCUCACCAAGCCAACGAUCUGUAGCUGGUCUGAGAGGACGACCAGCCACACUGGAACUGAGACACGGUCCAGACUCCUACGGGAGGCAGCAGUGGGGAAUAUUGGACAAUGGGCGCAAGCCUGAUCCAGCCAUGCCGCGUGUGUGAAGAAGGCCUCGGUUCGGUAAGUACG
rnacentral:rRNA from 1 species